UACGUAGGGUGCAAGCGUUGUCCGGAAUUAUUGGGCGUAAAGAGCUCGUAGGCGGUGUGUCGCGUCGGCCGUGAAAACCUGCAGCUUAACUGUGGGCUUGCGGUCGAUACGGGCAUCACUGGAGUUCGGCAGGGGAGACUGGAAUUCCUGGUGUAGCCGGUGAAAUGCGCAGAUAUCCAGGAGGAACACCGGUGGCGAAGGCGGGUCUCUGGGACGAUACUGACGCUGAGGAGCGAAAGCGUGGGGAGCGAACAGG
rnacentral:rRNA from 1 species